rnacentral:misc_RNA from 1 species
AAGUGAUAUUUUAUCUACUAUUUCUUUUUUCAUUUGCACCUAAUAAUGUCAUCUUUUAACAUACAUUCAUAAUCACAUUGUAACAGCCACCCGAGCCUCACCAACAUCCCUCAGUUGAGUUCAUCCCAAUAGAUAGACCUAUUUACGGAUGUCAAAACACUUCCCCAAAACCAAAUUAUACAUCUUUUAAGAAUACAAUCAAACUAAUGACCACCCAAUAGACCCAAAGAACCUAAGUAAACACUUUGGAUAGGACAUCCUGCCUCUCAGAAGAAAAAGAAAUAUCAUAUACUAAAAUAUUAGCCAGCAGCCAUCAAUUUGCUAAAAGAACUUGAGUUUUCCUUUGUCCAUGUGUGCUUUCCCGUGCUCCACAUAGCAUGCUGCUUUUUGAGUCCCUGUCAAGUCAGAACAGGAGUCACCAGCCCCGAGAGUGACUGCAAAGUAAAGAUAGAUAGUGCAGAGAAAAGCUAGGAGGCCAAGUGCAAUUAGAAGGAACCGGUGGCGCUGAAGUACUGUUGAACAGCUCCCAAGCUCAUUGCUUCGAGAGUAUUGAUUCUUCUUUGGAUCAGUAGAUGAAAAUGCUGUUUGUGUCUGUGACCUCCUAUGAGGAGAAGUUAUUAUGCUGUCAAGAGCCAUAACCUUAAACAGUUAAUCUUUGGCAGCUGGUCACGAUUCCUGCACAAUAGAAGAAAAAUGAAGGACAGCAGCCGUCGAAUCGAUCGGAGCAAAUUCGCGUCAAUCGCCGGCAAUGUAAGAGUUGAGCUCCCUCAAUGAGAGGAGAGGUGCCGGCGACAAGAGGGAGAGGACACGCACUUUCUGGAUGUAAAGAGCAUGAGAUGAGAGAGAGAGAAGAAAAUGCGAUU